GACGAAGGGGGCUAGCGUUGUUCGGAAUUACUGGGCGUAAAGCGCGUGUAGGCGGUUAUCCAAGUCGGGUGUGAAAGCCUUGAGCUCAACUCAAGAAAUGCACUCGGUACUGGGUGACUAGAGGACCGGAGAGGAUAGUGGAAUUCCCAGUGUAGUGGUGAAAUACGUAGAGAUUGGGAAGAACACCAGUGGCGAAGGCGGCUUUCUGGGCCCUACCUGACGCUGAGACGCGAAAGCGUGGGGAGCGAACCGG
rnacentral:rRNA from 1 species